UAUUGUCUGCAAAGAAAAGGAAAGACUCGGAUCCUUCCUACUUUCUAAGAAAAUGGGAGCUGUGGCACAAACAAUAACAUCUAGCUUCAUUGAUACUCCACCCAUUUUUAAAUAUGCGUGACAUCUGAGACAAACUAACAACAGAUGACGUACAUUGUACAUAUAUUUUUUUAUACAAAAAACUAGUUAUGAAUUACUUACUAUGACCAACCCUUUUCCUCCCAUACAUCUAAAUUAAUCUAAGAGCAAGAUGCUUGUCAUGAUUUUUAACAAAAUUUCUUCCAACUAACCAUUUA
rnacentral:lncRNA from 1 species